AUAGACUUCGGCCAUACUAUCGAAGCUGACAUCAUCGCCGAUGAAAUCACCGCUGUUAGACGAUUUCAUUUUACAAAUUAGACAAAAUCCCAUCAAAUUUACGGCCUACGAUUUCUAUGAGCUCAACAGUGAAACCCUGACCCAGGUUUCUGUUAUUGUUUUUGAUUUAAUGCUAUUUUUGCUACAAAUAUUUUCGCUUACCAAUAUUGCUUAAGAAAAAUGGUAGAUGGAAAUUAGCGUUGGAGUCCUGAGAAAACAAGGAGGUCGGAGAAGACAUGAUAGAAUUAGUGUUGCUGUACAAAACUAAAGAAAGUGGUAGCCGGAGCCCAGCCCACAAUUAGAAGAGAAGUCUUUUUAGAUCAGAUACUGCAAUUUAUCUACAAAUAUUUUUGGAGUUUUGCAGUUUCCCGAGAAAGAGAACAUUAUCGAAAGAGAAAAAAAUUAUGAUAAAUUAAUUUGUAUGAUAAUAUGGCUUCUUAAAUUUAAUCUCCUUCCGUUUUUUUAUUUUUUAUUAUGUUUUAAAUGUGUAAAAAAAUAAAAUUUGUAUUUUCUAAAAAUGUG